rnacentral:rRNA from 1 species
GUCGAGAAUUUUUCUCAAUGGGGGCAACCCUGAAGGAGCGACGCCGCGUGGAGGAUGAAGGCUUUCGGGUUGUAAACUCCUGUCAUUUGAGAACAAGUUGGACGCAGUAACUACGCGUCCAUUGAUAGUAUCAGAAGAGGAAGGGACGGCUAACUCUGUGCCAGCAGCCGCGGUAAUACAGAGGUCCCAAGCGUUGUUCGGAUUCAUUGGGCGUAAAGGGUGCGUAGGUGGCGCCGUAAGUGGGGUGUGAAAUUUCGGAGCUUAACUCCGAAACUGCAUUCCAUACUGCGGUGCUUGAGGACUGGAGAGGAGACUGGAAUUUACGGUGUAGCAGUGAAAUGCGUAGAGAUCGUAAGGAAGACCAGUGGCGAAGGCGGGUCUCUGGACAGUUCCUGACACUGAGGCACGAAGGCCAGGGGAGCAAACGGGAUUAGAUACCCUUGUAGUCC